UCGGUGGGAAUUACUGUAGAAGUGGGAGCUACGUUUGUGCACGACGUGUGCCAAGAAUUUCGUUACCUGUCUUCAACGCGAGACGAUGAAAUCCUGUAGUAUUCCAUGUCGGGAGACGAGCAGCGUUGGCGUGCGAUGCAGUUCACUCGAAAUCCAAUCGACGCUCAAACGAAAGGCGCAAGGAUCCACGCGAGGGACCGAGGAAGACGACGGCAACGAAUUAUCAGGGCCGAGGGAAGGUUAACCGACUGACCUGGAAGCCUCCAAUCUGGACGACUUCCUGCGCGAGCAACGCACGGAUAUACGCGCGCAAUCAUCCUAUCCAUCGGCCAAUUGGAUGGCUCACCUGGAAAUCCGACGAAUUUACACGAGCAGACUCCACGUCAAUAGUAAAAAAAAACAAUUGAAUCCGCCAUAAAACGCUGAAAGGAAGAACGAGUAACCCUUUGUAUCGGAGGUCGACAACUUCUACUGACGUAAGCCACAUUAGGGUGUUGAGGUUUGUAAGGGUUGCCAGUUUUAAUUGCACGAAAUAGGGAAAAGAAAAGGUGCAAGUAGAGAUUAAAAAUAAAUGAAAUUCCUUAAUGUUUGUUUUUUAUGUGAAAUAAUAAACACUACAGAGCUAGAAGAGUUAAUUUUCAUCUUCUGUUCCUGUUUACCAUCUACUCGUGUAAUGUGUGCUUCGUCUUAUAGUAUUCAUUUAUUCCCGGUAAAACAAACGCUUGUAAAGAUGUGCA